CAACUCUGGUUUCUCUUCAAUCACGCACAAGUUUUUCGCCUUUUACUAAAGACUUCCGUGGAAAGCAACGCUUACGAGUUCAACGUAUUUUUGGACGGGCUCUGCUCCCGGCAGAGCC
ensembl:snRNA U5 U5 spliceosomal RNA